rnacentral:rRNA from 1 species
UGGGGAAUAUUGCGCAAUGGGCGAAAGCCUGACGCAGCGACGCCGCGUGAGGGAUGAAGGUUUUCGGAUCGUAAACCUCUGUCAGAAGGGAAGAAACCGCACCGUGCUAAUCAGCGGUGCAUUGACGGUACCUUCAAAGGAAGCACCGGCUAACUCCGUGCCAGCAGCCGCGGUAAUACGGAGGGUGCAAGCGUUAAUCGGAAUUACUGGGCGUAAAGCGCACGUAGGCUGCUUUGUAAGUCAGGGGUGAAAUCCCACGGCUCAACCGUGGAACUGCCUUUGAUACUGCUUAGCUUGAAUCCGGGAGAGGGUGGCGGAAUUCCAGGUGUAGGAGUGAAAUCCGUAGAUAUCUGGAGGAACAUCAGUGGCGAAGGCGGCCACCUGGACCGGUAUUGACGCU